rnacentral:ncRNA from 1 species
UCUUUGCCGCCGUAUUGAGGUUGCUGUUUUCUGUUAGAAAAUAGCAUUAAAAGGGAAUUAGGUUAAAAACCUAAGCUGUACCCGCAACUGUAAGCUAUCAAGCUUGUUGUUAUCUACAAAACCACUGUUUCGAAGUAAGAGUAGAAAUUAGAGAUUAGAAGUAUAUACUUCUCACUUCUUUCUUCUCACCUCUAACUUCAAAUGGGAAGGUGAACAACAAGACGCAAGCCAGGAGACCUGCCUACUACAUCGAGUAUCA